UGGGGAAUUUUCCGCAAUGGGCGAAAGCCUGACGGAGCAAUACCGCGUGAGGGAGGAAGGCUCUUGGGUUGUAAACCUCUUUUCUCAGGGAAGAAGAUCUGACGGUACCUGAGGAAUCAGCAUCGGCUAACUCCGUGCCAGCAGCCGCGGUAAUACGGAGGAUGCAAGCGUUAUCCGGAAUCAUUGGGCGUAAAGCGUCCGCAGGUGGCUUGACAAGUCUGCUGUUAAAGACAGUAGCUCAACUACUGAAAGGCGGUGGAAACUGUCAAGCUAGAGUACGGUAGGGGUAGAGGGAAUUCCCAGUGUAGCGGUGAAAUGCGUAGAUAUUGGGAAGAACACCAGUGGCGAAGGCGCUCUACUGGGCCGUAACUGACACUCAGGGACGAAAGCUAGGGUAGCG
rnacentral:rRNA from 1 species